CGAAGGACCAUAAGCUAACUCAUAACUGAUAUCUGUACCUGUAUACUACAUAAAAGACUAAAAAAAUAUGGAAACAUGAACUGAAAGGCCAUAAGGUUCAAUACUAAUACAUAACUAAAAAUAUGGUAUAACAAUACCAAAACAAAUCUGAAAUAACUGUCUGGACAUACUAUAGUCUGAAAGCCUCUAAACUGUCUGAAUAAGGAGUUGAUGGGACAUGUCCCCAACUAACUCCAACUACUGAAAUAAACUGAAAACUAAAAUAGUAAU
rnacentral:lncRNA from 1 species